rnacentral:tRNA from 1 species
GGGAAUUUAGCAAAGAUGGGCUAUGCGUCGGACUGAAAAUCCGAAGAACAAGGUUCGAAUCCUACUUAUCCCUCA